rnacentral:rRNA from 1 species
CUACGGGGGGCAGCAGUGGGGAAUAUUGCACAAUGGGCGCAAGCCUGAUGCAGCCAUGCCGCGUGUAUGAAGAAGGCCUUCGGGUUGUAAAGUACUUUCAGCGGGGAGGAAGGGAGUAAAGUUAAUACCUUUGCUCAUUGACGCUACCCGCAGAAGAAGCACCGGCUAACUCCGUGCCAGCAGCCGCGGUAAUACGGAGGGUGCAAGCGUUAAUCGGAAUUACUGGGCGUAAAGCGCACGCAGGCGGUUUGUUAAGUCAGAUGUGAAAUCCCCGGGCUCAACCUGGGAACUGCAUCUGAUACUGGCAAGCUGGAGUCUCGUAGAGGGGGGUAGAAUUCCAGGUGUAGCGGUGAAAGGCGUAGAGAUCUGGAGGAAUACCGGUGGCGAAGGCGGCCCCCUGGACGAAGACUGACGCUCAGGUGCGAAAGCGUGGGGAGCAAACAGGAUUAGAUACCCGCGUAGUC